rnacentral:misc_RNA from 1 species
GGGGGUGCUAGGUGUGUGCGGUUACUGUAGAGAAAAGGAGAAAAUAUAAUAAAAAAAUUUUAGUGGUGGGGGUGUGGGGGGGGGGUGGUAGGGGGUGGGUUUUGUAGAAAUGGUGAAACUAAAAGAUAGAUAAAGAAUUUAAAAAAAAAUAAAAUUUGGGGGGGGGGGGGGGGGGGGGGGGGGGGGGGGGGGGUGGUGGAAAAUUUGGGGGGGGGGGGGAGGGGUGGGGGUUUUUUUUUUUUUUUUUUUUUUUUUUUUUUAUUCUUACCCUCCGAUAUAGGGGUCGGAGACUUUGUUUGCUAUCUACUCUUUCAUACCAGUUCUCGCUUUUAUGCCUCUCGUACUUUCAUGCCUCAUACUUGAUCUUUCUUACAUCCAUCACCUUUCUCGCACAGGGUGGGUUCCCUCUAUUUACGUCCUACUUGUCUACUUGGCUACCUUAACUUAGCUUAUGUGUAUAUAUAAGGGGGUAAAUAAAUUUGCACACUUGGGAUUAUGGCUUUUUGUUUUACAGGUUUUGUUUUUUCCUUAUUUCUAAUACUUAUUGCUAAUUAUUAAUAAUGAUAUUUAUUAUCAUUAUGACAAUUUUCCAUUAUAUUUUAAUACAACUUUUGUGUCGUAGUAACUACUAUGAAAGGGUCUUAAUCUACUUUGACAUGGUUUAAUUCUUAAUUACUAACACUAGGUUUACUGUAUUGUUGACAUGGUUUUAUUCUUAUUUUCU